rnacentral:rRNA from 1 species
CUGCGAAUGGCUCAUUAAAUCAGUUAUCGUUUAUUUGAUAGUUCCUUUACUACAUGGUAUAACUGUGGUAAUUCUAGAGCUAAUACAUGCUUAAAAUCUCGACCCUUUGGAAGAGAUGUAUUUAUUAGAUAAAAAAUCAAUGUCUUCGGACUCUUUGAUGAUUCAUAAUAACUUUUCGAAUCGCAUGGCCUUGUGCUGGCGAUGGUUCAUUCAAAUUUCUGCCCUAUCAACUUUCGAUGGUAGGAUAGUGGCCUACCAUGGUUUCAACGGGUAACGGGGAAUAAGGGUUCGAUUCCGGAGAGGGAGCCUGAGAAACGGCUACCACAUCCAAGGAAGGCAGCAGGCGCGCAAAUUACCCAAUCCUAAUUCAGGGAGGUAGUGACAAUAAAUAACGAUACAGGGCCCAUUCGGGUCUUGUAAUUGGAAUGAGUACAAUGUAAAUACCUUAACGAGGAACAAUUGGAGGGCAAGUCUGGUGCCAGCAGCCGCGGUAAUUCCAGCUCCAAUAGCGUAUAUUAAAGUUGUUGCAGUUAAAAAGCUCGUAGUUGAACUUUGGGCCCGGUUGGCCGGUCCGAUUUUUUCGUGUACUGGAUUUCCAACGGGGCCUUUCCUUCUGGCUAACCUUGAGUCCUUGUGGCUCUUGGCGAACCAGGACUUUUACUUUGAAAAAAUUAGAGUGUUCAAAGCAGGCGUAUUGCUCGAAUAUAUUAGCAUGGAAUAAUAGAAUAGGACGUUUGGUUCUAUUUUGUUGGUUUCUAGGACCAUCGUAAUGAUUAAUAUGGACGGUCGGGGGCAUCAGUAUUCAAUUGUCAGAGGUGAAAUUCUUGGAUUUAUUGAAGACUAACUACUGCGAAAGCAUUUGCCAAAGGACGUUUUCAUUAAUCAGAACGAAAGUUAUGGGAUCGAAGAUGAUCAGAUACCGUCGUAGUCUUAACCAUAAACUAUGCGACUAGGGAUCGG